rnacentral:rRNA from 1 species
AUUGAACGCUGGCGGCAGGCCUAACACAUGCAAGUCGAGCGAGCGGCGGACGGGUGAGUAAUGUAUGGGGACUGCCCGAUAGAGGGGGAUCACUACUGGAAACGGUGGCUAAUAACGCCAACUAUCGGAUAACCCAUAUGGGAUGAGCUAGUAGGUGGGGUAAAGGCUCACCAGGGCGACGACGUCGAGCUGGUCGGAGAGGAUGAUCAGCCAAACGGGGACUGAGAAACGGCCCAGCUUCCAACGGAGGCAGCAGGGGGGAAUAUUGCACAAUGGCGGAAGGCCGGAUGCAGCCAGGCCGCGUGUAUGAAGAAGGCCUGAGGGUGUUAAAGUAUGUUCAUCGGGGAGGCGUUACCCGCAGAAGAAGCCCCGGCUAACUCCGUGCCAGCCGCCGCGGUAAUAC